AGUAUCUUUAUCAGGUGAACAGCGAAACCUCCGAGAAUUGUUUUUCUGGGCAACAAGGCUCGUGCACCUGUUUAUCGCGUCGAAUAACACAAUUUACUGCGUGGUCCACAAUGGUGACGCGUAUACAUACACGCAGUCGGCACAUAUAUAGAAACGGUUGUACACACGAGACGAUACAAGAGAGAGAAAGAGAGAGACAGGCACACGCGGGCGUGUUCACGUGUACACAACACACGCGGAAGCGUGAGCGCGCGCGCACGUUCCUGGCCACUCGUUUGUUUGCUCGUUUGCGAGUACGUUUAGAGGAAAUACGUAGAGAGGUAGAGAAAGAGAGGGACACGCAGGCGACGCACACGCAGGUCGAUGCGAGAACACGCACUUCUCUUUCCACACCCCUGUGUCCCGAGCACUUUACGGAAGGAAACACAGACGAGCGAAACUGACGGUGCUGUUAAUAACCUUGCAGCAACGUGCACGGUUUCUCUGGAUCGGACACGCGCGAAAUUUCUUCAUGAUAAUCGCAUCUGCUCGAGGUACAAAAUUUCGGUCUCCUUUCGUACCCACCAUCCCUCUCUUCCCCGUUCCGCCCGCGUGCGAGCGACAAAUACCGCGUCACUUGUGAUCACGAACCUGUGGCUCGACUAUUCCUCACAAUAAUCGAACUAAAAUUCACUGAAUUCGAUGGUUCCUCCUGUACACGACCACGUUCACAAACGACACGCACGUAUUUGGAACUUUUUUCCGUCACACGCGUAGACAGCUAAAUAGGCGCUCAUGUCCAUCUUGUAAAGGUCAUGUGUAUGGUAAGCUCCGCAGUUGUAAACAAGAUGUACGCAGGCGCUAACCGCUCGAAUGGCGGCGACUCGAUACGCGAUACGCCACGACCGUAAAUACACAUACGUACGAACGUAUUUACGUACACAUGCGGUUGUCUCCUUCGCAGUGGCGUAACCAUCGUGUCGACUAAACACCGCAAUGCGGUGGAUCCUCCCGGAGGUCAUUCAAGUUGCGCUACAUCCUUUCGAGAAAUGUAAGUUAUUGAUGAUAAAAGCCGAGUAGAACGUACCUUUCGAACAGUGCAAGUAGUAAACAAGAUAUUUCCAUAUCUGAUCCCCACUAUUGUUAGAACAAAACACCGAUCGCGUGUAGUUACAUUUCUGGAGCAGUACAUAUUCGGACUUGUUCUUUCAUUAGCAUUGUCGUGGAAAUUUAAAUGAACUCAACCUCUGAUAUUGUUGAUUUAAUAAACAUACGCGAAAAAGAAGUAA